ACGAACGCUGGCGGCGUGCCUAAUACAUGCAAGUCGAGCGGACAGAUGGGAGCUUGCUCCCCUGAUGUUAGCGGCGGACGGGGUGAGUAACACGUGGGUAACCUGCCUGUAAGACUGGGAUAACUCCGGGAAACCGGGGCUAAUACCGGAUGCUUGUUUGAACCGCAUGGUUCAAACAUAAAAGGUGGCUUCGGCUACCACUUACAGAUGGACCCGCGGCGCAUUAGCUAGUUGGUGAGGUAACGGCUCACCAAGGCAACGAUGCGUAGCCGACCUGAGAGGGUGAUCGGCCACACUGGGACUGAGACACGGCCCAGACUCCUACGGGAGGCAGCAGUAGGGAAUCUUCCGCAAUGGACGAAAGUCUGACGGAGCAACGCCGCGUGAGUGAUGAAGGUUUUCGGAUCGUAAAGCUCUGUUGUUAGGGAAGAACAAGUACCGUUCGAAUAGGGCGGUACCUUGACGGUACCUAACCAGAAAGCCACGGCUAACUACGUGCCAGCAGCCGCGGUAAUACGUAGGUGGCAAGCGUUGUCCGGAAUUAUUGGGCGUAAAGGGCUCGCAGGCGGUUUCUUAAGUCUGAUGUGAAAGCCCCCGGCUCAACCGGGGAGGGUCAUUGGAAACUGGGGAACUUGAGUGCAGAAGAGGAGAGUGGAAUUCCACGUGUAGCGGUGAAAUGCGUAGAGAUGUGGAGGAACACCAGUGGCGAAGGCGACUCUCUGGUCUGUAACUGACGCUGAGGAGCGAAAGCGUGGGGAGCGAACAGGAUUAGAUACCCUGGUAGUCCACGCCGUAAACGAUGAGUGCUAAGUGUUAGGGGGUUUCCGCCCCUUAGUGCUGCAGCUAACGCAUUAAGCACUCCGCCUGGGGAGUACGGUCGCAAGACUGAACUCAAGGAAUUGACGGGGGCCCGCACAAGCGGUGGAGCAUGUGGUUUAAUUCGAAGCAACGCGAAGAACCUUACCAGGUCUUGACAUCCUCUGACAAUCCUAGAGAUAGGACGUCCCCUUCGGGGGCAGAGUGACAGGUGGUGCAUGGUUGUCGUCAGCUCGUGUCGUGAGAUGUUGGGUUAAGUCCCGCAACGAGCGCAACCCUUGAUCUUAGUUGCCAGCAUUCAGUUGGGCACUCUAAGGUGACUGCCGGUGACAAACCGGAGGAAGGUGGGGAUGACGUCAAAUCAUCAUGCCCCUUAUGACCUGGGCUACACACGUGCUACAAUGGACAGAACAAAGGGCAGCGAAACCGCGAGGUAAGCCAAUCCCACAAAUCUGUUCUCAGUUCGGAUCGCAGUCUGCAACUCGACUGCGUGAAGCUGGAAUCGCUAGUAAUCGCGGAUCAGCAUGCC
rnacentral:rRNA from 1 species